AAAUACAUUUUAACUUGAAAUAUCUCUUUCACAUAUUUCAGUCUAAGAAGUAAUAUAUAGUAAGUUAAUAUUGUCUUUUUUCAGGUUCUGAAGUUCGACAUUCACAGUCAUCCCUAAUGACCAAAAAAUCUGCUAACUCUUCUGAUUCUCCAAGACCUCGUUCUUUUACAAGGACUGAUGUUUCAAACUCAUCUUGUAACUUCUAUUUUGUGUCUUCUUAAGAAUUCUUCCAUAG